AACGAACGCUGGCGGCAGGCUUAACACAUGCAAGUCGAGCGCUGUAGCAAUACAGAGCGGCGCACGGGUGAGUAACACGUGGGAACAUGCCUUUCGGUUCGGAAUAACUCAGGGAAACUUGUGCUAAUACCGGAUACGCCCUUACGGGAAAGAUUUAUUGCCGAAAGAGUGGCCCGCGUUGGAUUAGCUAGUUGGUAAGGUAAAGGCUUACCAAGGCGACGAUCUGUAGCCGGCCNGAGAGGGCGGUCGGCCACACUGACACUGACAUACGGGUCAGACUCCUACGGGAGGCAGCAGUCGGGAAUUUUGGGCAAUGGGCGAAAGCCUGACCCAGCAACGCCGCGUGAAGG
rnacentral:rRNA from 1 species